rnacentral:rRNA from 1 species
AUUGAACGCUGGCGGCAGGCCUAACACAUGCAAGUCGAACGAGUGGCGGACGGGUGAGUAAUGUCUGGGAAACUGCCUGAUGGAGGGGGAUAACUACUGGAAACGGUAGCUAAUACCGCAUACCAUCGGAUGUGCCCAGAUGGGAUUAGCUAGUAGGUGGGGUAAAGGCUCACCUAGGCGACGAUCCCUAGCUGGUCUGAGAGGAUGACCGGCAACACUGGAACUGGAACACGGUCCAGACUCCUAGGGGAGGCAGCGGUGGGAAAUAUUGCACAAUGGGCGCAAGCCUGCUGCAGACAUGCCGCGGGUAUGAAGAAGGCCUUCGGGUUGUAAGGUACUUUCAGCGGGGAGGCGUUACCCACAGAGGAAGCACCGGCUAACUCCGUGCCAGCAGCCGCGGUAAUAC